rnacentral:rRNA from 1 species
AACGAACGCUGGCGGCAGGCCUAACACAUGCAAGUCGAACGCCGUAGCAAUACGGAGUGGCAGACGGGUGCGUAACACGUGGGAAUAUACCCUUUGGUUCGGAACAACUCAGGGAAACUUGAGCUAAUACCGGAUAAGCGCGCGAGCGGAAAGAUUUAUCGCCGAAGGAUUAGCCCGCGUCUGAUUAGCUAGUUGGAGAGGUAACGGCUCACCAAGGCGACGAUCAGUAGCUGGUCUGAGAGGAUGAUCAGCCACACUGGGACUGAGACACGGCCCAGACUCCUACGGGAGGCAGCAGUGGGGAAUAUUGGACAAUGGGCGCAAGCCUGAUCCAGCCAUGCCGCGUGAGUGAUGAAGGCCUUAGGGUUGUAAAGCUCUUUUACCC